CCCUUAGAUGUUCUGGGCCGCACGCGUGCUACACUGAGUGGAUCAGCGGGUCAGGUUGCGCGAAAGCGUUUCCUAAUCUUUAAAUCCGCUCGUGAUGGGGAUUGACGGUUGCAAUUUUCUGUCAUGAACGAGGAAUACCUUGUAAGCGCGGGUCAUCAUCCCGCGCUGAAUACGUCCCUGCCCUUUGUACACACCGCCCGUCGCUCCUACCGAUUGAGUGGUCCGGUGAAUUAUUCGGACUGCAACGCGUUCAGCUUCUGGAUGCAGUUGCGGAAAGUUUUGUAAACCUUAUCACUUAGAGGAAGGAGAAGUCGUAACA
rnacentral:rRNA from 1 species